rnacentral:tRNA from 1 species
GCGGGCAUAGUUUAAUGGCAAAACUCCUGUUUUCCAAACAGGUAUCGUCGGUUCGAUUCCGUCUGCCCGCUCCA